UAGCUGGUAGGAUGACAAGAUUCAGGAGAAAUGAUACAGAGAAGAUUAGUAUGCCCCCUGUGUAAGGAUGAAACCCAUAUUCACAAAGCAUUCCAUAUUAUU